rnacentral:rRNA from 1 species
UACGGAGGGGGCGAGCGUUGUCCGAAGUUACUGGGCGUAAAGCGCGUGUAGGCGGGUUGUCAAGUCCGCUGUGAAAGUCCAGGGCUCAACCCUGGAAUGCCGGUGGAUACUGUCGGGCUAGAGUUCGGAAGAGGCAAGUGGAAUUCCUGGUGUAGCGGUGGAAUGCGCAGAUAUCAGGAGGAACACCUAUAGCGAAGGCAGCUUGCUGGGACGACACUGACGCUAAGGCGCGAAAGCGUGGGGAGCGAACAGG